CUGGAAAGUCUUCUUGCUCUCCCAUUAAGUGGCCAUGGCUCCAACUGCCUGAGCUACUGAGAAGUGUGGCCAAGUAUUUUGUUGCACUCUUUGCCUCUCAUGGUGUGAGUUUAGUCUUUUCAGUCAGCUUGGAAGCUUCCCAACGGCUGAGCCAGAAUGUUUCUGUCUCAGUUUUCGGCAGCAGGCUGGUCACAGGCAGGGAGGGAAAAGGAAAGAAGUUGGGGAACAGCCCCCUUACAUUCUCUCUCAUCUGCGGGCCAGCGCCAGCAACUGCUGCUGAAACUGAUCUGGCUAAGGGAUGACAGGCUCAGUUUGGCAGUUGGAAGGUAGGACUAGGUUCAGACUUCUCCCUGCAUAUUUCUCUGUGGAGGACCCUUCCUUUCUCUGUCUAUCCUGUUCUGCAGGGAGGCCAGGAUACCCUCUCCUGCCCCUGUCUCGAUUACUCUCUUCCCUGUGCUGACUCUCUCUCCAGAGCUCUUCUUCCUAACCCUUCUGCUCCCGGCCAUGAGAAACUAUCCUUGCCCACAUGAGGGUUCCAAGUGUGCUGAAGAGGACAGUCAUGGCGAGAGGUUUGGUUCCACCUGAGCCUAUGAUCUGGCAGAUGUUGGAGCAGUUGCAAAGUGGCCAGGAAGGCAAGGGUCAUACCCUGGAGGCUGCCAGGACAGAGGACCAAGAUGCCUGGAGGGAACACAACCUCCUCAGCUUUGAAUGCAGUCUUCUGGACAGUAACAGUAGCUGGGAACUUUUAUGGAAGCCAGAUCCCCAGAGGAGCACCCUUUCUAUACUGGAGCCCAGAAGCUUUCAGCUCCAUGCCCAGAGUCUUAAGCAAGAGGGCCUAUUCCUUUGGGGCCCCAAGAUGCUCUUGAAUGACCUGUAAGGACUCGUUAAGAGUAGUAAGAUGAAGGCUUCUUUGCCCACCCUCCCCUCCAAGGCCCUGUUUCUGGACUGCCUGCCUCUACCCUCUUGAUGUAGCUAUUAUUUGUCCUCUCUACUGAGGCUUUUCACUGCUUGCCCAUCCUUGUCGCUGGGCUGCAAUAAAAUGGUUUAACUCUCCCUGAUGUGUUUUCUAUGAGUCAGCACCCACAUGGGAUAGAAUCAGCUGUACCUGUUCAUCUUCCUGUUACUUGAAGUGCUUUCUAUGACCUCUACCCCUGAAAUCCAAGUUCAUAGACAUUUAUAGCUGUAUCUUUUUUUUUUUUUUGAGACAGAGUCUUGUUAUGUUGCCCAGGCUGGAGUACAGUGGUGCCAUCUCAGCUCACUGCAACCUCUGCCUCCUAGGUUUAAGCGAUUCUCCUGCCUCAGCCUCCCAAGUAGCUGGGAUUAUAGGUGUGCGCCAUCACGCCUGGCUAAUUUUUGUAUUCUUAGGAGAGACGGGGUUUCACCAUGUUGGCCAGUCUGGUCUUGAACUUCUGACCUCAAGUGAUCUGCCCGCCUUGACCUCCCAAAGUGCUGGGAUUACAGUUGUGAGCCACUGUGCCCAGCCUAUAGCUGUACCUUCUGAGUGCAAGCUCAGUUGAAAUUGAAAAGUAAUGGGAGCUCCCAUUCUGGUGAGGAGAAUGAGGUAGGACACUACUCUGGGGCAGUAGUGCUAGGGGGAUGCAAAGGAGGAUGAGAUAUUCUGAUGGGACCUGGAUCUGGACAGUAGGAGGCUACCUUUUCUCAUCUCCAGCUUCUGGCAAUUUUUUUUUUUUUUUUUUUUUGAGACAAGGUCUUAUUCUGUUGCCCGGGCUGGAGUGCAGUGGCAUGAUCUGGCUCACGGAAGCCUCUGCCCCUGGACUAAAGCAAUCCUCCCACCUUAGCCUCCCAAGUAAUAAUAUAUGGGACUAUAGGCACACGCUAUCAUGCCUGGCUAAGUUUUAAAUAUUUUUUGUAGAGACAGGGUUUCACCAUGUUGCCCAGGCUAGUCUUGAACUCCUGGGCUCAACUGCUGCACCAACUUCAGGCUCUCAAAGUGUUCGGAUUACAAGUGUGAGCUGCUACCAUGCCUAGCCCCAGCUUCUGCUGCUUGAGGCUCUCUUUGGCAUCUCCACACAUCAUCCUUAGCAGCCCAGAUUGCAUUUCUGUAGCAGCCUGUUCCCUGGUCUCUUCUUUCACUCUCUCUGCCUCUAAUACAGUGGCUUUAAGAAUUUUUUGGCUGUGACUUCCAGUAAGAAAUACAAUUUACAUUGUGACCUAGUAAAUAUGUGUGUAGAUUUAUUAACUGAAACAAAAAUGUUAUGAUUUAAUUUUUAUCCUUACUAGGAGUGAUACACUGAUAUUUUCUAUUAUAUUUCAUUAAAAAAUGCCUUGUGACUAAUGAUCCUGAUCCUUUCACUACUUGGACAUCACAGAACAUGAACUGCAUAGGUCCACUUUUUUUUUCUUUUGAGAUGCACUCUGUUACCCAGGCCGGAGUGCAGUGGCGAGAUCACAGCUCACUGCAGCCUCAACUUCCCAAGCUCAAGCGAUCCUCCCACCUCAGCCUCCCAUGUAGCUGGGACGACAGGCAUGCGCCACCACACCCGGCUAAUUUUUUGUCCUUUUUGUAAAGAUAGGGUUUCGCCAUCUUGCCCAGGCUGGUCUCGAACUCCUGGGCUCAAGUGAUGCUCCUGCCUCAGCUUCCCUAGUAGCUAGUACUACAGGCAUGUGAUACGACACCCACUAAUUAAAAAAAGAUUUUUGUUUGUAGAGAUGUGUGUCACUAUGUUGCCCAGGCUGGUCUCAAA
rnacentral:lncRNA from 1 species